UGGGGUGUAGCUCAGCUGGCAGAGCGCCUGACUGUUAAUCAGGAAGUCGCUGGUUCGAAUCCAGCCGCCCCAG
rnacentral:tRNA from 1 species